AGCCUCCUGGAUGCCCAGAGGGUACCUUGUGUCCUAGCUGCCCCUAACCCCACGACAACAACAACAACAUUGGGUGGUGAUGGGAUAUUGUGGUGCCUGUUGCCUUUUUCAAAUAUUAUACUGAAUUUCGACAACAAUUUACUUAAGUUUUAUAUGAAAACAAAGUUGUUAGCUGUCUGCUUUUCCAAGGGCCUUCCUCAAGAUGCCUGUUUGUGCUGCAUAUGGAUGUCAUAAUCGACCAGAUAGAGAUAGGGAUAAAUCAUAUCACAAGUUUCCAUGGAACAACCGAAGUCUUUUCAAGAGAUGGCUAAUAAAUCUUAGAAGAGAAAAAUAUACUCCUUCAAAACAAAGUGUUGUUUGCUCGGACCAUUUUGAAGACUCUCAAUUGGAUCGUACAGGUCAAAUCACUCGGCUUAGGAUGAAUGCAGCUCCUACAAUUUUCAAGGCAUUUCCAAGCCAUUUAAUAAAGGUCAUCAAACAUCGUAAGCCUCCAAAAGAGAGGCCAUCUUCUUACAAACUGCCAGAGAGUACAUCAAGUGUUAAAAUCUCUCUAGAAGCUACUUUGAACUUUCAUUCAUAUGCCAUGACGGAGAGUCCAAGAAAGUUAAAGCGAAAGCUGGACAUUGCCUUAGAUGAACUUGCAGGUCUUAAAAAGAGGCUGAAAGUUUCACAGCGGCAUAGGCAACGUCUCUGUCACAAAUUGAAUUCUAUGACUGAAGUCAUAGAAUCUUUACGUGGUGAACAGUUGAUUACUGAAAACACAUUGAACAUGGUGUGCUAAACAGUAAAUGGUGUGCCAUUGGAUUUAUUUUCUAGGUUUACAUUGGCAAAGAUACAGGCAUCACAAAGGUACUCUGCAAGAAGUGCCAGACCAACUGGGUUGUAAUGACUAUGUGGGCCUGCGGGCCACUUCAAGCAACAGUCUGUUGGACCAAGCUUUCACCAAGUUUGCAGAGUAGAACAACU
rnacentral:misc_RNA from 1 species